GUCCCUGCAGCGCAAUGGAUAACGCGUUGGACCUCUAAUCCAAAGGGCAUGGAUUCGAAUUCUACCUGGGAUG